UACGUAGGUGGCGAGCGUUGUCCGGAUUUAUUGGGCGUAAAGCGCGUGCAGGCGGUUCGUUAAGUCCGGUGUGAAAGCUCCCGGCUCAACUGGGAGAGGUCACUGGAUACUGGCGGACUCGAGGGAGGCAGAGGAAGGUGGAAUUCCCGGUGUAGUGGUGAAAUGCGUAGAGAUCGGGAGGAACACCAGUGGCGAAGGCGGCCUUCUGGGCCUUUCCUGACGCUGAGACGCGAAAGCGUGGGGAGCGAACCGG
rnacentral:rRNA from 1 species